rnacentral:rRNA from 1 species
AUGGUUGGCCCUCUUCUCCGUUUCCUUCCCCUCUGUUUCUCUCCCUCACACAAGGAUUGCCUGUCCCCUUCUUCUACAGGAUCAGCCAUGGCCACCGGCCGCCGCGCCGCCCACCACGACGAGCUGCUCAGCACUCUCCUCGCCGCCGCGGGCAACGGCCGGGAGGAGGAGGAGGACGCGCGGGAGGCGCGGCAGCAUCAGAAUCAACGCGUCGAAUCCGGCCUCGGCUUACGGCGACACGGACCUGGAUGCUCUGGUUGCGACCGCCGUGCUCUAUGCCCCGACCCUGCUCGCCGAGUCCGUCCGACCUGCUGA